CAAAAAGAUAAAAACAUGGUUAAUGUUCUGCAUUUUGUUUCUGUUAUAAUUUUAUUUUUGUCCCUAAUCCUUCUUUCAAAAGUGAAUGCAGAUCCACUUAGAUGUGACACCGACGCCGAUUGCCCUAUAAUCCGUCACCUACUUUCAUACACAGGAUUAUGCAAUCCCUGCACGUUUAGUCAAGAAUAUACCUCCAGCCAUAUUUUUUGAACAAACUCAUAGCUGCCCAUACCAUAAGAUGUUGGAUAUCCUCCACAUAUAAUUUUAUAAGAUACGAAUGGAAACCCAUUCAUUUAAUUUAUGAGCCUUUUGUAGAAUGGACUAUGAGACUUGAAUGCAUUUUAAUUUUUUCAUAUUAUUAUUAUUAUUAUUAUUAUUUAUAUUUUAUUUUUUUUAAUUUUUUUAAACAAUAAUAAUAUUUUUGUAAGUGUAUUUUCUUUUAUUUGAACUGUUGAGAUUGAAACAAAAGCAAAAUAAAGAGAUUGGAAAGGACUUCUGAGAAAUUAGAUACG